rnacentral:rRNA from 1 species
GACGAAGGUUGCAAGCGUUAUCCGGAUUCAUUGGGUUUAAAGGGAGCGUAGGUGGCCUUAUAAGUCAGUGGUGAAAUCUCUCAGCUUAACUGAGAAAUUGCCAUUGAUACUGUAGGACUUGAGUACAGAUGCCGUUGGCGGAAUAUGACAUGUAGUGGUGAAAUACAUAGAUAUGACAUAGAACACCAAUUGCGAAGGCAGCUUACUACACAGUUAUUGACACUGAGGCACGAAAGCGUGGGGAUCAAACAGG